rfam:Firmicutes bacterium CAG:170 genomic scaffold, scf348
GCCCCAGUAGCUCAGGGGAUAGAGCAUUCGCCUCCUAAGCGAAGGGUCGGACGUUCGAAUCGUCUCUGGGGUG